CACGUGAUAUACGAGAAAGAUUUGGUUCAGGUAAUUAUGCAUGUGGUUCAAGCAUCUAUCUAAAAAAAUUGUGACCACUGCCACCAUUGUGAAGUGUUCCAUAAAUAUGUUUAAUAUCCUUUGCCAUUGCCAAGACACAUGUUUUUUUCUCUACACAUUCCUUUGAACGCAGAUGCUCAAAAUUGGGGACAACAUUGACAUACCCUGGAUUGCCAAAGCACUGGAUUGUUGCACGGCAACACCAAAGUGUAGAGGCACAAGCUUGCAUUGAGGGGAUGGCAUGAGGUUAGGUUCAGCGGCAACUACUUAAGGUCUUGUUUUUCUAUCCCAACUAAUAAUUUUUGGUUUGCUUCGUCAUGUUAUUUUGGGAAGCAAGACAUGUCAUUAUCUACAAUUGCCUUGGGUACAAAAGCUUUGUCAAAUUGUUUGCAAGGUUCAGAAGGAGCUGCUCCUUUUAUUGACUAAAAUUAUAAAAACAGUACCUACUGCAAGAGAGAUUGAAUCUAAUUCUAAUGCAUUUUGGGGACUCUGGUUGUAAUGAUAAAGUUUAAAAAACGCUGGCCAUAUUGAAUUAAUCUUGCUCGAUGUUGCCUCUCCUGCCAAUUUGCCAUAUAAGUUGAUUGGUUCUGUCUCAUCUAUUUAGCUAUUGCACACCAAUUAUAUUGCAUGCAGACUCAUCAGGCUUACUUUAUAAGUGUACUUUACUAAUAAUUAGUGUUACCUAUAACGCUAUGACACUAAAAACGACAUCCUUAUUCUUUUUUGCAAUGUUUCCUUCUCGACUGCAUAUGUCGAGUGCUUUCCGCAAGCCAUCUGAAAAAAAGGUUUAAAAUGUUGCUACUUUUUUUUGCAUUAGAAGAACAUUAAUUCCUCAAAACAAAAUAAAGGUUUUGUACGAAUGUUUGUGUAUUUGUUAAAACAUUUUGACUCAGUAAAUAAAGUCCCUUUUGUAUUUCUUCUUCUUCUCUAUUACGAAUAUAAUCAAAUUUACUAUUUUGCUUCAAAUGAUUUGUUUUCUAUUAAUCCCCUUACUCCAGUCAGUGUUUCUUCGUAUAUCUCUUACAUCACUUAGUUUCAAAUUAGACAUGGUUAUGAAAACAAAUACUUUAGAUUACUGACUCAUAAACAAUUGAACAGGUUUAUCUAAAUCAAUUGGGUGUCAUUUGAAGCUAUUCCAACUUAAGCUGGUGUUGGCUCCUUUCAGCCUGCACAAAAGGAGAGAAGUGCUAUAUUAGAGUGAACAUGAUCCUUGCCACCAGCAAGUAACAGGGGAAGGUGAGGUGAGAAUUAGAAUUGUCUUCAAUUUUAGGUGUUCAUGCCGCUUCAUUUAGAGCACCUUGAGGAAGUUCGUGUCUUAGGAUGAUUAGUAUAGCUAUAGCUUACCUUAUUUGUGGAAGGCUGCAAAAUCUAGAUUUUACCAUCGCAUCAAUUUUAAAGUUCAAAGGUCCAAUUCAAGACUGCCAUGACUUGGCUACAUCACUUAAAGUAAAAGAGUCAACAAAAUUUAAGUUCCUAACAGAGUUGCUUUUCUCUAAAACUAUUUUUAGCUGCAAAGGAGUGCCUUAAUAGAAUAUUGAAAUCUCACAUGUGUUACAAAUAUGUAAUAGUUGAUGCUAAUAAUUCUGUAUUGACAUUUUCGUAGGCCACUAAUGAAUUUUCCAUAAGAAACAAAAGACAAUUUCUUCGUUUUUGCUUUGUAUAUAUGUGACUGACAUGUCAAUGAUUUUUUUCCCUCCUAUGACGCUCUUGCCCUUGUGAUGUGUCUUUACAGCACACCAUUUUAGAUCAGAUAUAACCUCUUACUAACACUAGCACAGUUCUUCCCAAACAACGCCUCACUGUUCACAUCUCCGGAAUACCACCACAUCGCUAUUGUGAUUUCACAGUCCACUGUCUUCUCAGUGAAACAUGCACAAUCCAUGCCAUCUCAUUUUGUCAUGCAACAUUAUCGUACUCAGUUGAUGUUCAUGGAUCACAAACCCUCAUGUCUCAAGCAGCACAUGUAGCACUUAGUAUGAUAACACGCUAUGGUUGUCUCCUCAACAUUUGGCCAAUAUGGUAUGACACAUAUAUGGAAGAAAUGCUUGGCCGACUAUCCUCGACAACCUAUGACCGGAUGCCAUCUUUGCAUGGAGGUAUUCACAUCCACAUCUGCAGUCUAAAUGAAAAAAAUAAUAGCACAACAUAAGUCGAAAACAAGAGAAGCUCUCUUUUUUUUUCUCACCAUCUUUUACUUGACCAUUUACAGGAGACACUCA
rnacentral:lncRNA from 1 species